GCAGCAGCCGCGGUAAAACGGAGGGGGCUAGCGUUGUUCGGAAUUACUGGGCGUAAAGCGCACGUAGGCGGCUUGGUAAGUUAGAGGUGAAAGCCUGGAGCUCAACUCCAGAAUUGCCUUUAAGACUGCCGAGCUAGCAGGUGAGAGAGGUAAGUGGAAUUCCGAGUGUAGAGGUGAAAUUCGUAGAUAUUCGGAAGAACACCAGUGGCGAAGGCGGCUUACUGGCUCAUACUGGACGCUGAGGUGCGAAAGCGUGGGGAGCAAACAGGAUUAGAUACCCCAGUAGUCCCUGUCUCUUAUAC
rnacentral:rRNA from 1 species